UACGGGGGGAGCAAGCGUUGUUCGGAAUCACUGGGCGUAAAGCGCACGCAGGCGGAUUGAUAAGUCGGGGGUGAAAUCCCGGGGCUCAACCUCGGAAUUGCCUUCGAUACUGUCUGUCUUGAGUCCGGGAGAGGUGAGUGGAAUUCCUAGUGUAGAGGUGAAAUUCGUAGAUAUUAGGAAGAACACCAGUGGCGAAGGCGGCUCACUGGCCCGGUACUGACGCUCAUGUGCGAAAGCGUGGGGAGCAAACAGG
rnacentral:rRNA from 1 species